UCCGGCAAAAGCGCAACCCACACCCUUAGUUGCCAGCAUUCAGUUGGGCACUCUANGGGAACUGCCCGUGAUAAGCGGGAGGAAGGUGUGGAUGACGUCAAGUCCUCAUGGCCCUUACAGGUUGGGCUACACACGUGCUACAAUGGCAGUGACAAUGGGNUAAUCCCAAAAAGCUGUCUCAGUUCGGAUUGGGGUCUGCAACUCGACCCCAUGAAGUCGGAAUCGCUAGUAAUAAGCGUAACAACAUGACGCGGUGAAUACAG
rnacentral:rRNA from 1 species